AGUAGCUGCGAGCGAACAGGGAAGAGCCCAGCACCGAAUCCUCUCGGGCUCCAGCCCGUUGGGAAAUGUGGUGUUAGGGAGGAUCCGUUCAUCCCGGCUUUGCGUGAGCGUGUCCAAGUCCACCUUGAACGGGGCCACAGUCCAAAGAGGGUGCCAGGCCCGUAGUGACCGCUUCGCAUUCCGGGAGGAUCUCUCCUCAGAGUCGGGUUGCUUGAGAAUGCAGCCCUAAGUGGGUGGUAAACUCCAUCUAAGGCUAAAUAUGACCACGAGACCGAUAGCGAACAAGUACCGUGAGGGAAAGUUGAAAAGAACUUUGAAGAGAGAGUUCAAGAGUACGUGAAACCGUUCAGGGGUAAACGGGAGAAAUCCUGAUUUCGAAAGGGGUUAUAAAAGGAUUCAACUGCGCCCAGGGGGAGACUCGUCCUCGCCAGAUGUCGGCGGUGCGCCCGCGUGCGAGUCACGUUUUUCUCGCGGUGUCGUUUCCGUCACUCGGCUUGGGCAGACCUGGCUCGGGGUGCGGUGCACUUCCCCCCUAGUAGAAACGUCGCGACCCGUUGGGUGCCGGUCCCAAGGCCCGGGAUGGCAGACCGUCGCGUACCGCAAAAAACCGGAUCGUUCGGUUGCGGGCGAGGCGGACUCCCGGUGUCCCGGCCGGCUGCCCGACGGUAUGAGAGGAGUCGAUCCGCUGAGUGGAAACCAGUUUGGCUUGUGGAGCGUCCGGCACCGGCUUGCCGCGCGUCGACGGCGGACAGGUUCCCGUGCCUAUCCCACGGGUCCUUCCCCUCGCGCUGUGCGCAGGUCGGUGUCCUCGGACAGGAUCAGUAACUCCGGUCCGCGGCGUUCAUCUUCGGAUGUUCUCCCGACCCGUCUUGAAACACGGACCAAGGAGUCUAACAUGUGCGCGAGUCAUUGGGUUGAGCUAAACCUAAAGGCGAAAUGAAAGUGAAGGCCGGUCGUUGGAAUUCGCCGGCGGAGGGAAGAUGGUACUCGGGGUUACCGACCCUUCGGGGAAGGUACCCGGCCCGCAUUCCCGGGGCGUCUCGUCCUCAUUGCGAGGUGAGGCGCACCUAGAGCGUACACGUUGGGACCCGAAAGAUGGUGAACUAUGCCCGGCCAGGAUGAAGCCAGGGGAAACCCUGGUGGAGGUCCGUAGCGUUUCUGACGUGCAAAUCGAUCGUGAGAGCCGGGUAUAGGGGCGAAAGACUAAUCGAACCAUCUAGUAGCUGGUUCCCUCCGAAGUUUCCCUCAGGAUAGCUGUCGCUCGGAGGAAAGAAAUGGGAGAGAGUCUCAUACGGUAAAGCGAAUGAUUAGAGGCCUUGGGGUCGAAACGACCUCAACCUAUUCUCAAACUUUAAAUGGGUGAGACCUCCGGCUUGCUUGGUGUAUGAAGCCGGAGGCGGAUCACGAGUGACAAGCGGGCCACUUUUGGUAAGCAGAACUGGCGCUGUGGGAUGAACCAAACGCUGAGUUAAGGCGCCGAAAUCGACGCUAAUGGGAAACCAUGAAAGGUGUUGGUUGCUCAAGACAGCAGGACGGUGGCCAUGGAAGUCGGAAUCCGCUAAGGAGUGUGUAACAACUCACCUGCCGAAGCAACCAGCCCUGAAAAUGGAUGGCGCUGAAGUGUCGUGCCUAUACUCGGCCGUCAGUGGCAAUUGGAGAGGUUGAGCGGUAAUCACGCUGGACCGCGAGGAAGCCCUGACGAGUAGGAGGGUCGCGGCGGUGAGCGCAGAAGGGUGAGGCGUGAGCCUGCCUGGAGCCACCGUCGGUGCAGAUCUUGGUGGUAGUAGCAAAUACUCUAACGAGGGGCCUUGAGGACUGAUGCGGAGAAGGGUUUCGUGUGAACAGCACUUGCACACGAGUCAGUCGAUCCUAAGCCCUAUGUGAAAUCUGAGGCCGAUGGGCGGUCGAGAGGAACGUUUAUUAACUCGACCACUGAGACCCCCGGCCGGGCGAAAGGGAAUCCGGUUCACUAUUCCGGAACCCGGCAACGGCACCGUUCCAAAGAUGCGGGCCCUCGCGAGCUCGACGGGGUGACCCGUACUAAACCCGGAGAAGCCGUCGGGGGGACUGGGAAGAGUUUUCUUUUCUGUUUGAGCUGUCCGUGUUCCAUGGAAUCCUGUAACAGGGAGAUAUGGUGAGGGACGCGUAGAGCACCGCAGUUGCUGCGGUGUCCAGAUCCUCCCCUCGGACCAUGAAAAUCCAGGAGAGGGCCACGCGGAACGCCGUGCCGGAUCGUACCUAUAUCCGCA
rnacentral:rRNA from 1 species